rnacentral:rRNA from 1 species
UACGAAGGGGGCUAGCGUUGUUCGGAAUCACUGGGCGUAAAGCGCACGUAGGCGGCUUGUUAAGUCAGGGGUGAAAUGCCAAGGCUCAACCUUGGAACUGCCUUUGAUACUGGCAAUCUCGAGUCCGGGAGAGGAUAGUGGAAUUCCCAGUGUAGAGGUGAAAUUCGUAGAUAUUGGGAAGAACACCGGUGGCGAAGGCGGCUAUCUGGACCGUAACUGACGCUGAGGCGCGAAAGCGUGGGGAGCAAACAGG